GCAAACUCCGAAACGUAGACCGCGAACAUUCUGCGACUAGUUGCGUUUUGCAAAAAUUCUAUAGUCCGUAUUCUUUAUCCGUACUAAAAGUGCAUAACGGUUGUAAAUUUUAUCGGGAGUGUCGAUUAAAGUGGCGGACGAUUGUCGGAACGUACGAUUACCGCGGAUAUUCGUGAUAUACGCGUGUCGUUGAUCGGUUACAAAUUCAAACAGGUAACACAGAUGGCCAAGCCCCCUAAGCUAGCAUAAAUUUCUAUGUUAUAGAUAUAAUAAUUCUUACAUUCUCUCACAAGGAUCAAAACGCGGCAUAUUUUUAUCAAAUAUAACAUGCUGAAAAUUCAUUACAUCGGAAUUAGACCGGGUUUAACGUUAUUACAUUUACGCAGGUAUGUGUUUGUGCCGGAUUCCACGAAUUGCCGCGAGGACCGAAUUCCGCGAAUUGUCGCGAGGACCGAAUUCCGCGAAUUGUCGCGAGCGCCAUAGUCGUUCGUUUUGUUUAUUUUGAUAAUAAGUACAGUGUAGAGUUAUCCAUUGGAAAGUGCUGUUCGUUUCGAACUCCUUGAUCUACGAUGGAGUUGCAGAGUUACGAAGCAGUUUAAGAUGAAAUUUACAACGGCUGGAGCAAACUGCAACACCUUGGCUGGUACAGCUGAAGCUAUACUUAGCUGGGGUGCAACGAUUGGUUACCCUUUCUCUGAAACGUCACGGAGAAAGCCCGCAUGGAAAUACCGCGUCUCAAGAGUCCCUAGGACCAAGGCUAAUUUCUUCUUGUCUUCUGUAUCUAAUGUGUUUGAAGCAACGGCAGGACUGCGAUGGAUUGCAGCGGCGGGACAUCGACUGGCAUUACAAGGGUUAAUAGUUUGGCAUACUAUCCGAAGAGAGAGUCACAGCUCCCCUAUGAACCGAAACUACGAACGACCAACUACCGGCUUGGAAGGACAACUGGCUGAUUCGCUAUCCAAAAACAGAAAAACACAAGCUGUAAGAAGUGAGAGGUGAAAAAGGCGUUCUUAUUAAAGAAAAAUUAUGCUAAAUGGUUCGAAAAUAAUGGCUAAGAGGAAAAUUCUUUCUGCAUGAUAUUCUGCAUCUUCAAGGAAAGUUAUUUAGAUUUAACAAUAAAAUAAUGAGGAACAUCUUUCAACGUGAAUCAUCGUGAAGGCCAAUUCUUUGCACUGAUUAUCAUUAAAUUAUCCUUGCUGCAAGCGGCAAAGCGAAUUGUUAAUAUACAUGUAAGAAAGAGAUAAAGUGUGCGUGUCG
rnacentral:misc_RNA from 1 species